GGCAAUGUUAUUGUGUUCCUCCCGCCAGCUGUGGCCGAGGUGUUCCAGGAUGAAAACAUGUCUUCCAGGACUGAGCGUUCUAGAGAGGAGAUAUUGUCGUGCUUGUCAAAGUGUUUCGGACAUGAAACGUUCAGAAGUGACCUGCAGAGGCGAGCUGUUGAGGCUGUCGUUAAAGGUGGGCAGGAUGUGUUUGUGUCGAUGCCGACUGGGUCGGGCAAGUCCCUGUGUUACCAGCUGCCAGCGGUGAUGUCCCAAGGGCAGGUGGCCAUUGUCAUCUCCCCACUCAUUGCCCUCAUCAAGGAUCAGUUGGAACACCUUCAAAAGAUACGUAUUGUUGCCGAGUCCAUCAACUCUAAGAUGACGAGCAAGGAGCGUAAGAGAGUGCUGGCAGAUCUGUCAUGCAUGACGCCCACCACAAAGCUUUUGUACAUUACACCGGAACAAGCCUCAACAAAUUUUUUCAAGGGCCUUCUUGAUCAGCUGUACAAGUACAACAAGAUUUCGUACUUUGUGGUGGAUGAGGCACAUUGUGUAAGUCAGUGGGGCCAUGAUUUCCGACCAGAUUUCCUGCGUCUGGGGUAUUUGAGGAGCAGAAUACCAACGAUUCCCUGGAUAGCGCUAACUGCUACUGCAACAGCCAAAGUUGUUGAUGACAUAUAUCUUCAGUUGAAGCUCAAGAAGCCAGUUGCAAAGUUCAAGUCAUCUUGUUUCCGCUCAAAUUUAUUUUACGAUGUACAGUUUAAAGACGCCUUGGAUGACCCAUUUGAAGAGUUGAAGGACUUUGUUAUUAAAUCAUUGGGAAGUAAUUGGGAUCAAAAUAGAACAGAAAAGUCUGGGUGUGGCAUCAUUUACUGCAGGACAAGAGACGCGACGGCUGAGUUGGCCAGUCAGCUGUCCAAGAAGGGUGUGCCCACCAAAGCUUAUCAUGCAGGUUUGAAAAGCCGAGAGCGAGCUCAAGUUCAAGAAGAUUGGAUGGAUGGGAAAGUUCCAGUGAUUACUGCAACGGUGUCAUUUGGUAUGGGAGUUGAUAAAGCCUCGGUCAGGUUUGUAGCCCAUUGGAGUGUCCCUCAGUCGAUGGCAGGAUAUUACCAAGAGUCCGGUCGUGCUGGCCGAGACGGAAAGUUAUCAAGAUGUAGAAUAUAUUACAGUAAGAAAGAAAGAGACACUGUGAUGUUCCUCUUAAACAAGGAUGUAUCGACGGCAAAGAAGUAUGGAAAGCCUCAACAGGAGGACCAAGCAAAGAUGACAAUAAAAAGCUUCGAGACUGUUAUCAAGUUCUGUGAAGUGCCAAUCUGCCGGCACCAUUCCUUUGCUCUGUAUUUUGGCGACAAUAAACCAGAUUGUAAGAAGCACUGUGAUUACUGUACCAACCCUCAGUUAUCAGCAAAGCGGGUAGAAGAAUGGAAUACCGCCCUGGUCCGUAAGUCGUCCUACAGGUUUCAAGCUGUGGCUGCCUUUGAAAAUGGUUGUGAUGACCCUGAUUUGUAUGGUGGAGGAAGAAGAGGUUUGAAAAGAGAGCAAGAAGACUAUGACCAAUGUGGAGAUGGGGAAGACAGGGCCAGAGAGGCUGAACAUGCAGCCAAGAAGCAGCGCACAAAUUUCAUUAAACAACAGCUUGCUCUUCGCCGCGGUAAAAAAUCUUCCACUGGUUCCUCAUCUUACAAUGGUCGCCUGAAAGAACAGAAAGAAAAGGAAAAGUUGGAGAAAGAGGAGAAUGAUCGUGCGAAAAGAUCUAAGCUGACAAAUGCAGAAUUUACUUCAAAGAUCAUUGGACUUAAUAUUAUGACAAGAGAGAGUUACCUCCAGUUGGUGUUUCAAGCACUUCAGAAAAACUAUGAAGUCUGUGGUGACUCCGGACCAGUUUUAAAUAGAUUAAAAGAAUCUGAUAUAGAGGACGUGGCUGUGAAACUGGAGUACAGCGUCUUCACUUCCACCUUUGUCUUAAUGAUGUAUCGCAAAGGCAUGAUGUCGCUGAUGAUGAGCAUCAGAAAAGACACAAGUUCAUUUGUUUUGCGCUCAGAGCUGGCUGAACAUGAACCGAAGCUGAGUCUUGGCCAGCUAGCUAAGCAGAUUGAAAAUGACAUUAAGAACCGGAAAACUAUGAACUCGGGUUUCAAAAGUGCAAGUGAAGUGAUGGAGGAGAGCCGUCGUGAAGUCAAAAAGAAAGAGCCUGAGAGUCUAAGUACUAGACGCGGUUUUGCGCUAAAGAGAUCUCCAAACCAUCAAACAUCAUUGAAUUCAUAUUUUAUUAAAAGUGACAAGACUAAGACCAGUGGUAAGGUUGAUCAUCAAUUGUCAGAAAGUGAGUCUGAUGGGGAGGACUCUGGCAAUAAAGAAAAGAGAAAGAUGACAGACAACAAUGCUGAACAUGUAGAUGAAAGUACCAAAGAAGGGAAUAUGUCUGAUGCAAGUAACUACGAUCCAGAUGAAAAUCAGGCGUUUAUCUGUGAAGAAGUUUAUUUGUCUGACUUGGAUUGUAAUGAUGAUGAUGAUGAUGAUGAUGGUAACAGAAGUAGUGUAAAUAGUGGUUCUGAUAAUAAGGAUGCACACUCUAGCGUUGAUAGUGAGAUUAACUCUGAAGGCACUGAUAAUAGUCAACAUUCAGUUGAAGAAUCUAAACUUGUGCCGAUUACCGAAGAAAAUGGUCAGACAGUAAAAGUUAAUUCAGAGAAAGAAAGAAAUGAAGAUCCUGCUAAAAGUGUGAGCAAAAGUGCAAGUGUGCAUGCUGAAGUGUUACCGGAGCUGUGCAAUGGUAAUAUGUCAUCAGAUAAAACUGGCAUCAUUGACUUUAUGGAUGAAGAUGAAUGUUCAGUGGAGGUUUCUGGAAGUGAGUGUAAACAGAGCACAGGUUAUUCGCCAGGUGAGACCAGUAUUAUAAAUAUGUUUUCUCCCGACAAAGUAAAUACAUGUGAGUUGCAAAAGACUGUGUGUAGUGGUAGCCAGUCAUUGUACACUGUAAUGCCAUCUGUUGUCUCCUCCAAUAACAUUUUGUUUUCAAAACCUUCAUUCCAUAGCAACCGAACUGCAGACUCGUCCUUGGAGGUACAGGAAUGCAAAUCAACAGCUGAAAAAUCUGAAACUAAAAGAUCAAGCAGUAAGAAAUGUAGAGUCAGCAAGAAAUUAAAGAUAAUUGAUUUAUUUGGUGACGAGUGUGGGACAAAUGAAACAGAACAUCAGGAAGAUAAGAAGGUUUGUGUCGAGGCUCAAAGUACUGAUGCACAUAACACAGCAUUAAAGAAGGAAAACGAAAGUAGGCGUGUCGAAAAUGAACGACAGAGUAACUACAUCACGUGCCAAGACAAAAAUGAUAAAGGGAUGGAGAGUAAAGAUAGUAAACACAAGCAUUCUAAUGAUGAUUAUCAUCUCAAGGAUUCCAGCAGUACAGUUAAUGAGAGAGACAGCAAGAAAGAGAAGUACCGAGAGCGUAAUGACAGAGACAAGUACGAAGCAAAUGAAAGCCUUAAAGAAAAAGAAGAAAAGUGUAAAGAAAGUGAAGAAAUACUUGAUUUUAGAAUAAAAGACUCUCCCACAUCUCUAAAUAAACAUAAACAAACUGAGUGUAAAAAUAAGAAAGAAGGAAGGUCAAGCAGUUCUAGGAGGUAUUCUGAAAGAUCAUCAAGUGAUUCAGAUAAAUAUAAAAGGGAGUCCGAAACAACAAGAGAUUCAAAAAAGUCUCCAAGAGGUUCAGAGAGAUCACAAAGAUAUUCAGAAAAAGCAGAGAGAAUCUCUGAAGAGUUUUUAUCAAAUUUGGAUAACUCUAGAAAGGACUUUGAAAGAUCUGAGUUGAAAUUGGAGAAAUCUGGAAGGAAUUCAGAUAAGUGCAAAAGGGAUUCAGAAAACCUCAAAGAUUUAGAUAAAUCUAAUAGGGAUUCAGAAAAGUCUAGGAAAGAUUUAGAGAAGUCUGAGAGGAAAUUGGAAAAGUCUAGGAGAGAUUUUAAGAGGGAUUCAGAUAGAGCACAGAAGGAUAAAGAAAGAUCUGAUAGAAGCUCAGAGAGAGCACGAAAGAAAGUAGAAAGAGCACAAAUUGAUUAUGAUAAAGGCUUGAAAGCAAAUGUAAACAAGAUUGCUAAGGAGAGAAAAGCAGGCGACAAUCAAGAAAAAAAAGAAAGCAUUUCAAGUAGUAAAAUUGAGGAUCUGUUUGGAUUUGACCACAAAAGUUUGAAUCAUACAGCAUUAGAAGAGCCAAAGAUUACCGAUAUACCAAAUACUAUACAAAGUAAUUUUAGAAAUAAGAAGUUAAGUCCAGUAAAUAUAUGUAGUGAGUCUUCAAAUAUAAAUUCGGAAAUAUCCAAAGACACUUCAAGUUGUGUGGCAGUGGUAAAUACAGGGGAAGAAGUAUCAGUAGUACACAAAAAGCAAAUAGCGGACUGGGUAGUUAAACAUCUCAUGCCACAUUACAAGAGUAACAACAUAAACGGGAAGGAGCUUUUCAAGUCGCUCGCUAGGCAGAUGUCACACCAUGUUCUGCAGCUGGGACUUGGGAAAGAUGAAGCAGGAGCCGAGCAGAUUAUCAAAAAGUUUUUUGAGAGAGUAAAAAAAGUUUCUUGUGAAACGGAUAUUGUUUUUCACUGACCACAUUUAGCUGAACCUGUUUUGCAUGAUGCAAAUUAUAUUAUGUGGCAGCUCAUGAAUUAAACAUCAAAUGCUGUUUAAAGCGGGUUUAUCUGCGUUAAUGGAAAAUUGUUCGCCGGAGUCACACAAAUAUAUUGUUGUGCUCGUGAGACAUUGUCUUCAGGAACCACAUAAGGCCUUGCUGUGUCAGUGAUAAAUUAUCUGCAGGAACCAUACAAGGCCUUGUUGUGGGGGACAUGAAAUUUUCUGUAGAAACCAUAUAAGGCUUUGCUGUGUCAGUGAUAAAUUAUCUGCAGGAACAACAUAAGGUCUAGCUGUGUCAGUGAGAAAUUAUCUGCAGGAACCAUACAAGGCCUUGUUGUAUGGGGCAAGAAAUUUUCUGCAGGAACCAUAUAAGGUUUUGCUGUGGCAGUGAGAAAUUGUCUUCAGGAACCACAUAAUGUCUAGCUGUGUCAGUGAGAAAUUAUCUGCAGGAACCAUACAAGGCCUUGUUGUAUGGGGCAAGAAAUUUUCUGCAAUAACCAUAUAAGGCUUUGCUGUGGCAGUGAGAAAUUGUCUUCAGGAACCACAUACGGCCUUGCUGUGGCAGUGAGAAAUUGGCCACUGGAGCUACACCAGUCAGUUACAGCUGCGAUACAAGCGAGUUUUAAAGCAGCAGUGAGUGCCGACCAUCACGUGAAAACUCUAACAGGUGUUUCAAGAGCUACUCCAAUGGUGUUCAAGUGUGUGUUCAAGUGUCUGGGAGAAGAUUUGAAGUGACUCAAAAUUUGAAGGACACCAGGAGGGAAAUCGUAUUAGUCAGAGGUGCAGGAAAAAUCAAUUAAAACUAUAUCCAUGAAGAAUAAAACUAUAUCCAUGAAGAAUAAAACUAUAUCCAUGAAGAAUAUUUGUUUACACAUUCUGUAAAUCUUCGGGGAAUCUGGUACUUUAUACAUCACCCGUCUUAAGUUAUUUUGUUCUUGCAUGAUAUCUAGGCUUUGUUGGCUGUUGUGCAUCACAGACGGCUAAAUAGUCUUCUAGGCCUCAUACUUCAUUUUAAUAAUUAUUUACACGUUUUGUAAUUGUUUUGGAUUAUGUUUUGGUAAACUGGAAAUUUAAUGUGGUUAAUGUAAGCACAGCAUAUUAUAUACAGUAUAUAUAUUAUUUGUCUAUUUAAACAAGAUCUAUGAAGGUUGUAUGUGGCCAAUAAGGUGGUUGUUGAAGAAUUUUUAAAGAUGUGAUACUUUAUUCAGAAGUUGUAAUUUAUUUAGUAAUAAAUAUUUAAGCUAUA
rnacentral:misc_RNA from 1 species